GAUGAACGCUGGCGGCGUGCUUUACACAUGCAAGUCGAACGGUAACAGGCCUUCGGGCGCUGACGAGUGGCGAACGGGUGAGUAAUGCAUCGGAACGUGCCCAGUCGUGGGGGAUAACGCAGCGAAAGCUGUGCUAAUACCGCAUACGAUCUGCGGAUGAAAGCGGGGGACCUUCGGGCCUCGCGCGAUUGGAGCGGCCGAUGUCAGAUUAGGUAGUUGGUGGGGUAAAGGCUCACCAAGCCAACGAUCUGUAGCUGGUCUGAGAGGACGACCAGCCACACUGAGACUGAGACACGGCCCAGACUCCUACGGGAGGCAGCAGUGGGGAAUUGUGGACAAUGGGCGCAAGCCUGAUCCAGCAAUGCCGCGUGCAGGAAGAAGGCCUUCGGGUUGUAAACUGCUUUUGUACGGAGCGAAAAGGCUCCCUCUAAUACAGGGGGCUCAUGACGGUACCGUAAGAAUAAGCACCGGCUAACUACGUGCCAGCAGCCGCAGUAACAC
rnacentral:rRNA from 1 species